AUGAUCGAUUGUGGAUUUUGCUAUCCAUCAUUUUCCAUAGUAAUGAAAAUGCUCUUGGCUCGACAUAGCCUGUUCUAUUUGUUCCGAACCAAAUUUGCGCUGGGUUUAAGUAACAUAGUACACGAUGGAGCUCGAGAGGACAGAAUUUUUUUUAUCAAGGGAAAGAAUCUAGGGUUAGUGAAAACUAAUAAAUUAGGCCAACUUUGUCAGUCUAUCCUUAAUAUAGAAAUAAAUCGAAAGGUUCAAAUAAGAAGAAAGUCCAAUAAAAGUAUAUCAGAAUCAAUCCCUCUUAUUAGAUUUCUAUAG
rnacentral:rRNA from 1 species